UUCAGACAGUUUUAGUCUCUGUUCUCAGCCUGAAGGAGUUAAAUCUGCAAUUUCUGCAUUAUCAGCAAACACAACAACCAGCAAGAACAUUCAGCAGUCAGAGGGAUUCCUCCAUGAAAUCCAGUAUUUCCAACAGACUGUGGAAGGUCAUAUUGUGCAACAAAGACUUGGCAAUUCAAGCCUGAGCAGGCUCAAGUCCUAAAUCUCAUCCAACAGUGAAGAGCAUCUACAACUAGAUGAGCAAUUUAGGACUCUCUAAGGAUACAAUCACCUAGGAUGCAGCCUUACUAGAAACAGGAAGGAAAAAAUAUGUUAUCCUCAAUUUAUUCUAAAAAAGAAAGUCAGGAGAUCAAAGCAAAUUAGAUUAUAAGAAGAUCCUAUUGAUACUAAAGAGCCACCUGCCACUGCAAACACCAUGUGUACAAAGGCAAAGGCACACAAGCUGGAACGAAAAGAGAAGCAGCAGCAGAGCUACUUGUGACCUAAGCAGCAAGCCCUCACUAAAGUCCCUGAGGUAAAACCGCAGUGAAACAACACGGAUUUCUGCCAUAUCACCUGGGUAGAAAGGCCAACAGAAAUACUUGUGACACAGCGUGAUUUUCUAAAGCACUGCAUUCACUGCAGCGCAUUUCUGAGUUUCUGCUAAGAGGCGUGCAGGCCAUGUCCAAGGAGCCAGCAGACGAGCCCUGGGAGCAGUGUCCAGGGCUGCCCCUGCAGCCGGGCUGCCCCUGCAGCCGGGCUGCCCUGCUGCAUUGCAGCACCCAGCUGCAGCGCU